CGAGGGAUCUGCCCGCCUCAGCUGGGAGUGCUGGGGUUACAGGCGUGAGCCGCCGCGCCCGGCCUUCUAUCUUCUACACUCACCUGUGCGUGAGUCUUGUUUCUCACAGGUGAUCGUCUCAACGCCAAGGAACCUGUUGGAUUCAUUCCUGUGACACCCUUAAGGCUUUGACAACUCUGUCCUGCGUACCACAGGCUUUCGAUAACUGUGUGUGGGAAUAAUAUUCAUUAUAUAUUAUUAUCAAGUAUAAUAAUAUUCAUUCAUUAUACCGAAUGAAUAAUUCAGUAGCCGUUUACACAUGUGUACAACCAAGUUGGUUGAAAUAAUUAUUUGCCCGUGACCCCAGCGGCACCAGGUCUCCGCUCUCUGGUCUAGCGCGGUGCUGCCAGCCACUGGUGGCUCCCAGGACGAAGGGGUGGCUGAAAGAUGCCCGGUCCAUGGCAGCACUUCCCACGUGACAGCUCGGUCCUUUCGAGGUUUCCAGCUCACUAUAGGACAGAAAACGCGGGGGGCAGAGGAAGUUCAAGCUGCCAUUGAAAAUCAGUCACCAACAAAGUCACCAGGCGCGGCCCUUUCAGGAUGGGCUCUUGCCGGGAGGGCGGCUCAGCCACCGGAGGGGACGAAGCGUUCAAAGCAGCACGCGUCCGGGGUCUAACGGCGCAGGUGUCGGCCAGCAAGGAGCCGAAGCGCAGGACGCAGAAUGGUUCUGCCUGUUUUCAAUCGGCAACGGCAUCGGUCCCCCAGCUCAGCAUCGCAGACACAGCCGUGGGUCCCACUGCCUCAAGGGAAUCAAGCUGCUGGCGGC